UCGCCUGUUUAUCAAAAACAUGUCUUUAUGAAUUUCAUGUAAAGUCUAGCCUGCCCAGUGACAUUAAAGUUUAACGGCCGCGGUAGCAUGACCGUGCUAAGGUAGCAUAAUCAUUUGUCCUUUAAUUGAGGACUGGUAUGAACGGCUGAACAAGAAAUCAACUGUCUCUGCUAUAAAUUUUGAAAUUGACAUUUAAGUGAAAAGGCUUAAAUGAGAUAGGGGGACGAUAAGACCCUAUAAAUCUUGAUGAUUAAGAUAAUAAAUUUUAGGCAGUAGUAAUAAGUUUAAAUUUAAUGUCUUAAUUAUUUUGUUGGGGCGACAGGAGUAUAAGAAGUAACUGCUUUGAAAAAAUAAUUAAUUAUUUUUAUGAUGUUUUGUUUGUGAUCCUUCUAUGAAGAUAAUAGAUCAAGUUACUUUAGGGAUAACAGCGUAAUCUUUCUUGAGAGUCCAUAUCGAAAGAAGGGGUUGCGACCUCGAUGUUGAAUUAAAGAGCCUUUGUGGUGUAGCAGCUAUUGUAAGGAGGUCUGUUCGACCUUUAAAUCUUUACAUGAUCUGAGUUCAAACC
rnacentral:rRNA from 1 species